rnacentral:rRNA from 1 species
GAUGAACGCUGGCGGCGUGCCUAAUACAUGCAAGUCGAGCGAACAGACGAGGAGCUUGCUCCUCUGACGUUAGCGGCGGACGGGUGAGUAACACGUGGAUAACCUACCUAUAAGACUGGGAUAACUUCGGGAAACAGGAGCUAAUACCGGAUAAUAUAUUGAACCGCAUGGUUCAAUAGUGAAAGACGGUUUGGCUGUCACUUAUAGAUGGAGCCGCGCCGGAUUAGCGAGUUGGUAAGGUAACGGCUUACCAAGGCAACGAUGCGUAGCCGACCUGAGAGGGUGAUCGGCCACACUGGAACUGAGACACGGUCCAGACUCCUACGGGAGGCAGCAGUAGGGAAUCUUCCGCAAUGGGCGAAAGCCUGACGGAGCAACGCCGCGUGAGUGAUGAAGGUCUUCGGAUCGUAAAACUCUUUUAUUAGGGAAGAACAAAUGUGUAAGUAACUAUGCACGUCUUGACGGUACCUAAUCAGAAAGCCACGGCUAACUACGUG